rnacentral:rRNA from 1 species
GAUGAACGCUAGCUACAGGCUUAACACAUGCAAGUCGAGGGGUCUUUUGGAGCUUGCUUUAAAAGACGACCGGCGCACGGGUGAGUAACGCGUAUCCAACCUGCCCUUCAUAUUGGGAUAGCCUUCCGAAAGGAAGAUUAAUACCGAAUAACAUGAGAUAGUUGCCUGAUUUUCUCAUGAAAGCUCCGGCGAUGAAGGAUGGGGAUGCGUUCCAUUAGGUAGUAGGCGGGGUAACGGCCCACCUAGCCGACGAUGGAUAGGGGUUCUGAGAGGAAGGUCCCCCACACUGGAACUGAGACACGGUCCAGACUCCUACGGGAGGCAGCAGUGAGGAAUAUUGGUCAAUGGAGGCAACUCUGAACCAGCCAAGUAGCGUGCAGGACGACGGCCCUAUGGGUUGUAAACUGCUUUUGUAUUAGGGUAAACCUUAGUACGUGUACUAAGCUGAAAGUAUAAUACGAAUAAGGAUCGGCUAAACUCCGUG